rnacentral:lncRNA from 10 species
GAAUAACUAUUCUAUGAAAAAAUAAUAUCACAGUGAAUUUACUUCAUUUCCCUAAAACAUCUAAGUAUAUAGUAAAAAGAGAGAGUAUUCCCUCCAGACAAAGGCUUUCAAGCAACCACAGGAGAAAAUGCCCUGUGUAGGGAUAAUGAAUAUUAAUCUAAAAUAAUUUUUUCUAAUAUAUGGUUUAAUUCCAUCGCAUUUCAGUUUCUCUGUUUAGAGGCACACUUUGGUCUGAAUGUAGUCUAUUAGAGUGUUACCCUAAUGACUUAUCAUUAACAAUUAUACACUUUAAGGGACUGAACCCUUCUGAAAAGAAGCUUAUUUGGUCAUUCUCUGUAAGUAUGUUCACAUGUGAGUAUCACAAUACUCAUAGUACACAUAUGAGGUCAUAGUAUCAUGUGUUCCCCAACUUCCUUUAUCCCCCCUUCUUUCCUCCAAAUUCUACUUAUUUUGUUCAUACAUUUCCUUCAAACCUGUGGUUUUGUAUCUCCUACAAGUCUGUGUAAUAACAGGGAGGCACAGGAGCACAUUAGGAAACAGAAUAAAGUGGGGAAGACCUAAAUGUGUUCCAUCAGAAAAGGGAUCUGAAUUUAUAUAUCUGAGCCUAAACUUGAAAAAAAAAGUUUUUACUUAAAAAUAUCAUCUCAGCCUUGGAGUUUCCUCUCAUUAAAAGGCAGAAAAUCUUUAGCAAGAACAGGAAAAGAACAAUAAAAAGAUUAUGCAGCUCUGGAAACAAGCAUGUAUACUGAAAAGAUAAUAUUUGUUUGUUUUAAAAGGCUAACAGAUUUAAUCUAACGACAUAACCACACGUGCAAAGUGAGUGCAUUCCACAGCAUGACUGAAGUGUAGUUUAAGCUCUCUUAACAACUGAUGAUUGCAUCCAGACUGAUCCAGUCCCGAUACGUAUGAAUAACGAAGAUAACCAAAAGAAUUAUUGCAUUUGCUGCAACUGUUAGCAGCAGUGAAUCAGUUUGGAUGAAUGGCAACCUCAAUUUUUGCCUCCUCAGGAGAAAUAAUUCAACCAGAGGGCAUAAGGCAGAUGGAGAGACUGAGGCAAGCUUUAGAGCAGGAUUGAAAGUUUGUUAAAAAGUUUUAG